UUUAUUUUCCCAUCUAUAGCUAAUAUAUGAUAGUUUUGCUCAGUAUCUGGUAACGGAGAAGGGUUACGACAAAGACUUGCUGACUCUAAAUCCAGAAAGCUUAGACUUCUGUUGUAAAGGCUUGGCAUUGGAUUUUGAAGAUGGAAACUUCCUGAAGCUUGCGGAAGAUGGAACAGUUUUGAGGGCAAGCCAUGGCACUAGGAAUAUGACAUCUGAAGAGAUCCUGGAGAUUUAUGGAAGGAGGGAAUGGAAGCAUUUUAGUACAGUCAGUGGAAUGCUUUCCCGCUCAGGUAGCUACACCUCAGAAUGUCCUGGUCUAUGAAACUGCUUUGGCCCCUUCAGUGUUUAUUAUAGUGUUAGUUAAUCCUAAAUCUAUAUUAAAAAAUACUUGAGGUGAGAAUUACUGAAAUAUGUGAGUGUUUGUGGCAAAGGUUGUUUUUAUAUUUUUAACCUGUAAUAUUUAAAAUUAAAUCAACAAUUAUAAGGCAAGUAAUGAACAAGCUAAGUUUUGAUUAUAGGGAUGGGCACAUUGUUUCUUGUUGAUCCAGUGAAAUUCAUAGUCUCAAUCUCAUUUAAGAAAAAUUUUUUAAAAAAAUCAAGUUUAUCUUAAUUGUUGACAUGUUGCUGUCAGUGUUCUUACUGGAGGCCUAGCUGGAAGUGCAAUUAACAGAGCAGGUAUGGAAACACAACUGCUCAUCUUGUGAUGGCAGCUGUUUAAUUUUAAAGGUCGGAGUCAUGUUGUGAAGGCACUGUGAUUAGAUUUUCACUUUUACUAGCCACCUUGUACUUUAUCUCAAAUUUUCUUUAAGAUUAGUAAUUUUGAGUGAUGCACAAAAAAUGCUUGCUGUUAGUUGCAUUGUCCUGUGUGAUAGAGAUAUUCUUUGUCAUUUUGCUGUCAUAAAUUCUUUUGUCAUCCUUAUGCUAAACUACAGGUAAUCUGUUGCAGCUGGGCAGAAAAGUACCUCAGCUAUAUGUACAAAAGAAACAUUUUGCAUUCAUUAUUUAGUUCUCUUUCAUGAAUAUUAGUCCUUGUUUUGCUGACUUAUGUAAUAUAUGUAAGAGACGGCACAGACAAGAUCAUUAAUACAAUGAAAGCAUCACCUGUUAAAUCAUUUUUACUCCCAGAAAAGAAUUGCUGAGUGUGACCUUAGUCUGAGAGAAAUAUUUGUGCACUUCUGACAUUUUUGUUCUGUUUUGGGGCAUCAUAGAAUAAUGUGAACAUGCUUCCCACUGGGCUAAGUUUCUGUCUCUAGCAUGUGUUUUCAAAGGACAGGACUAUAGGAAGUCCAUCCCAGCUUCUGUAUUAGAUGAUUCAACCCAAAUACCCAAGCACCACCAGAGGGUGAAAUGAAUCCAGAGAGGAUCCUGUCUUCUUGCCCAGAAGCUAGACAUUCAAGAAUUUCCUUGUAAAUUCUUUGUUUUAGACAAUGAAGGAAAGACAAAAUCUAAAGUUAAACAGGUUAUGAGACACUUGUACAGUGUGCCAUUCAUAAACAACUGUAACAUCAGAGUAGCAAGGACAUUUUAGAUAAGUUCUACAGCUAGAGAUGCAGUUUUGUUGAAAUCUGGGAAUGCUGGAAAACCUCACUGAGAAGUGCUGAAACAAUGCUUUUAUUUUCCCAUUUUGUUUCAAUAAUGUUUGAAUAAUCCUAUUUGGUAAAUAAAAUGCAUCUGUCCA